rnacentral:tRNA from 1 species
GCACCCGUAGCUCAACUGGAUAGAGUGUUGCUUUCCGAAGGCAAAGGUUGUGGGUUCAAAUCCCGCCGGGUGCACCA